rnacentral:rRNA from 1 species
AUUGAACGCUGGCGGCAUGCCUUACACAUGCAAGUCGAACGGUAACAGGUCUUCGGAUGCUGACGAGUGGCGCACGGGUGAGUAAUACAUCGGAACGUGCCCAGACGUGGGGGAUAACGAGGCGAAAGCUUUGCUAAUACCGCAUACGAUCUGAGGAUGAAAGCAGGGGACCGCAAGGCCUUGCGCGUUUGGAGCGGCCGAUGGCAGAUUAGGUAGUUGGUGGGAUAAAAGCUUACCAAGCCGACGAUCUGUAGCUGGUCUGAGAGGACGACCAGCCACACUGGGACUGAGACACGGCCCAGACUCCUACGGGAGGCAGCAGUGGGGAAUUUUGGACAAAGGGCGAAAGCCUGAUCCAGCAAUGCCGCGUGCAGGAUGAAGGCCUUCGGGUUGUAAACUGCUUUUGUACGGAACGAAAAGGCUCUGGCUAAUACCUGGGGCACAUGACGGUACCGUAAGAAUAAGCACCGGCUAACUACGUG